GUUGCGCUUGGUGCCACUUGAAUUGCAUUCCCUCCUUCCCUGCUUUCAGCCCACCUCACUAAUCGGCCUGCAGCUUCUCCCUUUCCCUGGGAGUGCUGCAUGGGUGGCUGCUGCCCCUGGUGCCUGCAGAGGUGCACCUGGAGAAAGGAGGCUGCCUGCUGUGUGCCUGGGGCGGGCAGUCCGUGCAGGCUGAGGAGGGCUGUUUGCCAGAGCCGAAUGCUGUCCCUGUGGGGCUGUGUCAGAGCUGCCAGGACUGUUGGUGCUGGGAGUACUGCCGUGCUCCCAGCAAGGUCCCAGUGUCCUCUCUGUAUGCCUCCCUUAUCUGGGGUCCUCAAAUGAAAGCCUGGGCUUUCGUCUGACACAGUGCCAUUUUUGGACUGCCCGGUGUGAUAUGGGAAAGGCGCUGAGACCGAAGAGAGGGAGAGGGUGAGAGGUACGUUAAGAAAUGGGAAGUGUGUUGAGCCAUAGUGUUUGAUUGCUUUUAAUUGAGUUGAGGUUCAAGGAGCCCUGUGAUUUUUGUGCUCAAUGUUUGGUGCUUGGCAAAGCAUUUGGAUGUUUCACAGUGGUGCUGAAGGUGUGCAUGAUUCCUGGGGUUGCAACACAUAUGUUCCUGUGGUGACGUCGGAAUACCAUAGGGUGGACUGAAGAGAAGUCACACCUCUGCUCAGCGAAGGUGACUUGAUGCAGGCUGUCCCGCAGGUGGUGGUUGCUGGGUAGGAUGAGUAGGCUGUGCAAGUGGGUGUGAGGAAUUCUACAGGACCUGAUGAGUUUCUCCCACAACUGCUGAGGGGCACGUCUGAUGUCUUUGUAAGGCCCUUUUCUGCUGACCCCGAAAGUUCAUGAUGGAGGUGCUUUGUGAAGAAUGUUGGAGACUCAUCCCAGCCCUGUAUUCAAGAAAUGAAGUCGGAAGCUGUGAGAAACUGCAGGCUGGUCGACCUGAGGUUAGACACCGUGGAGGAGGUGAAGCAACUCCUCCCCGAAAUCAGUGGUUGUACAAAGCCUCCUCAGUUUCUUCUCAACUGAAGUGAUCCGCUUGGCGGAUGAGGAGGAGCUGGGGCAGUUGUCUGUCUAGCCUUUGGUAAAGGCACUGAGGCUUCCUCGCAUGACGUGAUCCCAGAGAAGCCGUCAAAGUGGAUGCUGAGGUGGUCUUAAAAGUGGCUGAAUGCAACGGUCCAGUGGAAUGUUCUGAUUUGCACACAUUCCUGUUGUGACAAGACUUGGUACUGAGGCCAGCGCUGUUCAACAUCAGGAUUAAAAACCUGGGUGAUGGUAGUGAUCCCAGUGAGUUUGCAAAUGCUCGAAGAUGGGAAGGAGCAGCGGAUGCCUCGGGUGAAUAGUGCAUUUUUGUGAGGGAUGGGGAGGCUGGGCUAUGUGUCAGAGAAAGACAUCCUGAAGUAGCAGAAGGGGCAAAGUGAAGUCCAGCAAAUGGGAAGCAGUAGUGCAGAACAGUAGAAAUGAGAGGGUGGCAGCCAGCUUUGCUGAGGAGGACCUGGUGUUGCUGUUGGUGAGCAAAGUGAUGGUGAGGCAGCAAUGGAGCCUCGUGGCAAAAGAGGUCCCCGUUCUCCAGAAGGCCAUUGGGAAGAGCAUCGCUAUCACUCUGGAGGAUGUACUCUUUUCUUUCUGUUCAGCACUGCUAAGAUGCCGCUUGGAGUUGGUGUUUCUGUUUGGUUUUCCCCUGUGAAGACAGACAGGAAUACAGUGGUGUGAUUCCGCUGCAAGGCUGCGCCAGUUCUGAUGGGCCUGGAGCCUCCUUAGCAUGUGGAGAAGCUGAGAGUGCAGGCAGUGUUGAGCCAGGACCCCAGGAUGCUCUCGGUAGUUCUUAUCCUUGUGUAUUAAUCCCGGAUGUUCAGGAAGGACAAAAAGGGAGCCAGCACCUUUGUGUUACUGUCCCCUACCAGGACAAAGGACAGUGGACAGCACUGAAUGGGAACCUUGCUUGGAAGAGAAAGGGAGCUUUUUCCAUUGUGAGGGGGACGAGCAGUGGAACAGGUUACCCAGCGGAAUAGUUUGUGCAGUCCGUAUCCUUUGAGGUACUGAAAAUCUGACUGGACGUGUUCGUUGUCUGACAGCUGUAGGUGAGUGUGCUUGAGCAGGGGAGUAGUACUGCAUGGUCACUGCCAGUUCUUUAACAGGUAAAUGAUUCUGUGAGUGUGGGUUUUUGUUGUUGUUUUGUUUUGUUUUGUUUUUUGUUUUUGGUCACUCUUGGAGAAUCCUGCUCAGAUGUGCUGCCAUGGAGAGGUUGUUUCAGAGGGCAUGGGCAGAAGGGCCUUGGUAUGCCCAGGACUUUGUUUGGUCAAGCAUAGAUGUUGUGUGAUGUUUUGGAAGCCCAGUGGAUGCCCCGACUGUCCUUGUUGGUAUCAUCCUUAACAGGGGAGGUCAUGGGGCCCCCUUGGACCCACCCUAAGUAGAAGUAGGCCCCUCAGUAGAAGAAGAGCCUCUGCUAGUGUGCAAUGCUCUUUUGGUGACAUGGUUGCGAGAGGAGAUGUUUUGGUUCUUUUUUACCUGGCACGAUGGUUUCUAGAGCCAUGUCUUUGUAGUGGGUGAAGGGGAAAGAGCAUUGGGCCAAGGAAAUAAGAGGAGGACUCUGAGGCUGGCAUGCAUGAGAACUUUAUUGAGAGAAACACACUAAAAGGAAGGAUCCACUUGGGGAUAACCAUGUGGAAAAGUCAGAAUUUAAGUUGCAAAGAAAGAAGAAGUUUGCAGUGCUCAUGUUUCCAAAGCGCAUGGUCUGCUUGCUUGAAAAGAGGAGCCAUGGCUGGUGAGCCCAUGUGCCAUCAGUGACACAGAGGUGCCUCCUCAGUGCAUGAGGCGCCUUGCAGGGUGCAGGAGGUUGCUGUGAGGGUGUGGGCGCAGGCCCUUAGCAGGGGUAGCGGGCUCUCCAGCCGUUGAAGCAGCCCAGGCCUCCGAAGCCGAA